CAAAGCUCAGGUUUCUUCUAGUGAGGUGUUUGGAUUAUAUCACAAACAUCAAGGAUCCUUUCCUUCUAUUAACAUGCUUUCUGUCAUCUGCUCUCUUCUUGUGAUACUCUUAACAUCUAAGCGGAGCUAUGGAGACUCAGUGACCCAGACAGAAGGCCCGGUCAUUCUCCCAGAGAGGUCCCAGCUGACCCUGAACUGCACUUACCAGACUACUUACUCGGUUACUUUCCUUUACUGGUAUGUGCAGUAUUCCAGCACAGCUCCUCGGCUCCUCCUCAGGAGCGCCACAGAAAACCAGCCGGCAGAGAACCGAGGUUUUCAGGCCACUCUGGCCAAGAGUCAGCGCUCCUUCCCCCUGCAGAAACCCUCCCUCCAGCUGUCAGACUCUGCCACGUACUACUGCGCCCUGGGGACACAGUGAGGAGAGCUGCAGGGGGA